UCCCCUGGAAAAGCACUGCCUCUGCAUAAACCAUCCUGAGAGGCCCCAGAGGGAAUGUUUCUUGAGCGCUGCGGCUGGAACUGGCUGCAUCUGAGCUACAUCAGGCCCCCUGGGCCCUCGAGUGGCUCCGCUUUGCCUUGAAUAUCAGGAAAUCCAUCUUGAAUUUUCCACCUGCGUCUUGCUAUGACCUAGCAUUCUCGGGGCGCGAGUGCCUCCUGCCCUUUAGACCGAGGAAGGAGCGACUCUGUGGCCUGCAGAGGACUACCUUGCCCUCUUCCUUCCAGCUGGUAUUCCCUGGUGGGGGUUCUGCUUCCUUGUAAAGAAGAAAAUGGUAAGAAUUAUUUUCAUUUCAAACUUUGACUGCCUCCCUACUGGACUGGCUAAACUGAAAAAGGACUGAUGAUACCCAGCAGUGGUGGGAAUGUGGAGCGACCAGGACUUUCCUGCACGGCUGAUGGAGUGUGAAUUGCAACAGUUCUCCACUUUGGAUGGCUGCCCAGCAGUAUUAGUAAAGAAAAGCAUUCAUCUACCCCAUGACCCAGCCCUUCCUUCCUUGGGAACAUGUUAAUAAAAAGGAGUG